rnacentral:misc_RNA from 1 species
UCCGAGUUGACCCCGGCAGUCUCCUAUGAGUCCCCGGCUUGAACCGCUGGCAACAUAGGACAAGGGUUGCGCUCGUUGCGGGACUUAACCCAACAUCUCACGACACGAGCUGACGACAGCCAUGCACCACCUGUGAUCCUGCUCCGAAGAGAGCCCCUGUUUCCAGGGGGGACAGGAACAUGUCAAGCCCAGGUAAGGUUCUUCGCGUUGCGUCGAAUUAAACCACAUGCUCCACCGCUUGUGCGGGCCCCCGUCAAUUCCUUUGAGUUUCAACCUUGCGGUCGUACUCCCCAGGCGGGGUACUUCCUGCGUUAGCGCCGGCACCCAGAGGGUCGCUCCCCCAGGCACCUAGUACCCAUCGUUUACGGCGUGGACUAC